rnacentral:rRNA from 1 species
AUUGAACGCUGGCGGCAGGCCUAACACAUGCAAGUCGAGCGAGCGGCGGACGGGUGAGUAAUGUCUGGGAAACUGCCUGAUGGAGGGGGAGAACUACUGGAAACGGUAGCUAAUACCGCAUACCAUCAGAUGUGCCCAGAUGGGAUUAGCUGGUAGGUGGUGUAACGCCUCACCGAGGCGACGAUCCCUAGCUGGUCUGAGAGGAUGACCAGCCACACGGGAACGGAGACACGGUCCAGACUCCGACGAGAGGCAGCAGUGGGGAAUAUUGCACAAUGGGCGCAAGCCUGAUGCAGCCAUGCCGCGUGUGUGAAGAAGGCCUUCGGGUUGUAAAGCACUUUCAGCGGGGAGGCGUUACCCGCAGAAGAAGCACCGGCUAACUCCGUGCCAGCAGCCGCGGUAAUUC